rnacentral:rRNA from 1 species
CAGUCGCCGCGGGAAAACGUAGGGGGCAAGCGUUAUCCGGAUUUACUGGGUGUAAAGGGAGCGCAGGCGGUGCGGCAAGUCUGAUGUGAAAGCCCGGGGCUCAACCCCGGGACUGCAUUGGAAACUGUCGUACUUGAGUAUCGGAGAGGUAAGUGGAAUUCCUAGUGUAGCGGUGAAAUGCGUAGAUAUUAGGAGGAACACCAGUGGCGAAGGCGGCUUACUGGACGAUAACUGACGCUGAGGCUCGAAAGCGUGGGGAGCAAACAGGAUUAGAUACCCCGGUAGUCCCUGUCUCUUAUAC